CAAAGAUUACAAGAGAAAUAAAGCUCAGUAGAACAAAAAGGAUUCUUUUCCAUUUAACAAAUCUGCUGUCUAAAGAAGGAUAAGAAAAGCACCAAGGAACCAGCAGAGACAAAAGGAAAACCAUUAAAAGUAGUCUUCAGGGGAAGUUCAGAAGGUAACUAGAGAGAACUAAAGUAUCCACUCCCAGGAGAAUGUGAUGAUGCUCAAAAGGUAUUCAGAAGAGGUGCCGGAAAAGUCAGAGGAGGUGCCGUGAGACUCAGAAGUAGAGGAGCUAUCAUGGAAUAUGCCUCGUUGGAGAGGAUUUCUUCAUCAUGGUCUCUUCCACAUCCGACACACGGCAGCAAAGAGGAACACCACCAGGUACGUCGAGACAUCAGGGACAGAAGAAGCAGGGGAAACUCGGGAAAAGCUGCCAGUAGGAAAACACCUGGCUUCAUCUUCAUUGUCUCCACCAGCAGAGAUUCAAAGGAGCAUAAAUCAGCCAAAGUAAGCUAUCCGGGUCAGCUCAGGGACGAGAAAAAACGCCCAUAAAAAAACAGCCAAACAGCAGUCAUAAAACACCAGCAAGGAAGACUCAGAAAAAUUGUAACAAAGAAGAAAUCACAUGAGAUCAGUCCAGAUGAAGCAUCAUUGUCUGCACCAGCAAAUUGAUCCAGAAAAACAAAAUUAACCAUGGAAUAAGCCACCAAAAUCAGUCCAAAUCCGAGAGAAACCAGCCAAUUCCUUGAAGGAAGUAAGGAUGGACCAAUCUAAAGUUAAAUCGAUACAUACCAAAUAGAUCAGCAAACCGC
rnacentral:lncRNA from 1 species